rnacentral:rRNA from 1 species
UGGGGAAUAUUGCACAAUGGGCGCAAGCCUGAUGCAGCGACGCCGCGUGAGGGAUGACGGCCUUCGGGUUGUAAACCUCUUUCAGCAGGGGAGAAGCCUCUUUGGGGGUGACGGUACCUGCAGAAGAAGCACCGGCUAACUACGUGCCAGCAGCCGCGGUAAUACGUAGGGUGCGAGCGUUGUCCGGAAUUAUUGGGCGUAAAGAGCUUGUAGGCGGUUUGUCGCGUCUGCUGUGAAAAUCCGGGGCUCAACCCCGGACUUGCAGUGGGUACGGGCAGACUAGAGUGUGGUAGGGGAGACUGGAAUUCCUGGUGUAGCGGUGGAAUGCGCAGAUAUCAGGAGGAACACCGAUGGCGAAGGCAGGUCUCUGGGCCAUUACUGACGCUGAGAAGCGAAAGCAUGGGGAGCAAACAGGAUUAGAUACCCUGGUAGUCCAUGCCGUAAACGGUGGGAACUAGGUGUGGGUCUCAUUCCACGAGAUCCGUGCCGCAGCUAACGCAUUAAGUUCCCCGCCUGGGGAGUACGGCCGCAAGGCUA